GAUGAACGCUGGCGGCGUGCCUAAUACAUGCAAGUCGAGCGAACAGACGAGGAGCUUGCUCCUCUGACGUUAGCGGCGGACGGGUGAGUAACACGUGGAUAACCUACCUAUAAGACUGGGAUAACUUCGGGAAACCGGAGCUAAUACCGGAUAAUAUAUUUAACCGCAUGGUUCAAUAGUGAAAGACGGUUUUGCUGUCACUUAUAGAUGGAUCCGCGCCGCAUUAGCUAGUUGGUAAGGUAACGGCUUACCAAGGCGACGAUGCGUAGCCGACCUGAGAGGGUGAUCGGCCACACUGGAACUGAGACACGGUCCAGACUCCUACGGGAGGCAGCAGUAGGGAAUCUUCCGCAAUGGGCGAAAGCCUGACGGAGCAACGCCGCGUGAGUGAUGAAGGUCUUCGGAUCGUAAAACUCUGUUAUUAGGGAAGAACAAAUGUGUAAGUAACUAUGCACGUCUUGACGGUACCUAAUCAGAAAGCCACGGCUAACUACGUG
rnacentral:rRNA from 1 species